AUUGAACGCUGGCGGCAGGCUUAACACAUGCAAGUCGAGCGGUAACAGAUCCAGCUUGCUGGAUGCUGACGAGCGGCGGACGGGUGAGUAAUGCAUAGGAAUCUGCCCAGUAGUUGGGGAUAGCCCGGGGAAACCCGGAUUAAUACCGAAUACGCCCUACGGGGGAAAGCGGGGGAUCUUCGGACCUUGCGCUAUUGGAUGAGCCUAUGUCGGAUUAGCUAGUUGGUGGGGUAAUGGCCUACCAAGGCGACGAUCCGUAGCUGGUCUGAGAGGAUGAUCAGCCACAUCGGGACUGAGACACGGCCCGAACUCCUACGGGAGGCAGCAGUGGGGAAUAUUGGACAAUGGGGGCAACCCUGAUCCAGCCAUGCCGCGUGUGUGAAGAAGGCUUUCGGGUUGUAAAGCACUUUCAGUGAGGAGGAAAACCUUAUGGCUAAUAUCCAUGAGGCUUGACGUUACUCACAGAAGAAGCACCGGCUAACUCCGUGCCAGCAGCCGCGGUAAUACGGAGGGUGCAAGCGUUAAUCGGAAUUACUGGGCGUAAAGCGCGCGUAGGUGGUUUGGUAAGCGAGAUGUGAAAGCCCCGGGCUUAACCUGGGAACGGCAUUUCGAACUGUCAGACUAGAGUGUGGUAGAGGGUAGUGGAAUUUCCUGUGUAGCGGUGAAAUGCGUAGAUAU
rnacentral:rRNA from 1 species